rnacentral:rRNA from 1 species
CGUUGCCCUGCACCUGCCGGCGACCGGCGCACGGGUGAGUAACACGUAUGGAACCUGCCCGCCACAGGGGGAUAACCCGGGGAAACCCGGCCUAAUACCCCAUGCCGCCCGGACCGGGCAUCCGGUCCGGGCGAAAGGAGGAAUCCGGUGGCGGCUGGGCAUGCGGCGCAUUAGCUUGACGGCGGGGUAACGGCCCACCGUGGCGACGAUGCGUAGGGGUUCUGAGAGGAAGGCCCCCCACACUGGAACUGAGACACGGUCCAGACUCCUACGGAAGGCAGCAG